GGAGAGGUGCCAGAGCGGCUUAAUGGGACAGUCUUGAAAACUGUUGUGGUUGAAAGAUCACCGGGGGUUCGAAUCCCUCCCUCUCCG
rnacentral:tRNA from 1 species